rnacentral:sRNA from 1 species
AUUACAGCCGCCUGGGCUGGCGGCUGGACCUGCCCUGGAGUGGCCGCUCGGGGCUUACCCGGUCCCCAGCGCCUGGGCUCUGUCCUAUCUACAAGGCUGAGCCUGCAAUGGCUGGGGGACUGGCUGGUGCUGUCAGGGGGCCUGGGGGUCGUGGUGCGGCUGGACAGGACUGGCUCCAUCUCCAUCUCUGUGGACCACGAGCUCUGGGGACAGACACAAGGCCUCUGUGGGCUCUACAAUGGCUGGCCAGAGGGACUAUGUGAAGGGACAGCUACUGAUCCUACUGGAGCAUGGGGCCUGCGACGCUGGGAGCUGCCUCCACGCCAUCUCCGUCUCCCUGGAGGACACCCACAUCCAGCUCAGGGACUCAGGUGCAGGGUCUGUGUGGUACCUUCACCCAGAACCAGCAGGACGACUUCCUGACACCAGCCGGAGAUGUGGAAACUAGCAUUGCUGCCUUUGCUAGCAAGUUCCAGGUGGCCGGCAAGGGAAGAUGCCCCUCUGGGGACAGUGCCCUGCUGUCUCCCUGCACCACCCACUCCCAGCGCCACGCCUU